rnacentral:rRNA from 1 species
UUUUAGUGGCGGGACGGGUGAGUAACGCGUGGGUAACCUGCCUCACACGUGGGGGAUAACACUUAGAAAUAGGUGCUAAUACCGCAUAAGCGCGACGGGACUGCAUGGUCUUGUGUAGAAAACUCCGGUGGUGUGAGAUCGGACCCGCGUCUGAUUAGCUGGGUUGGGCGGGGUAACGGCCCCACCAAGGCGACGAUCAGUAGCCGGCCUGAGAGGGUGGACGGCCACAUUGGGACUGAGACACGGCCCAAACUCCUACGGAAGGCAGCAG